CAUAACACCAAAAGCCAAAGUCAUCAUAAAUCUCUCUAGUAAAAUUUAUCACAAAAAGUUAAAAAAAAUAUUUAGUUUUCUCUCAUAUGUCACAUAUAUAUAUUUGAGGAAAUAUUUAAAAAAUAUAUAAUUAAUAAAUAUUAUAAAUAUAUACUUAGCAAAGUUCUUAAUUUAUAAUGAAAUGUCACAAAGAGGACAUAAAAAUGAAAAAAUGAAAAUUUUUAUGUUAAAGGGCUAAAUAAACGCUUCAUACAUGCAGAAGAAUAACCAGUAACAGCAAAACUGAAAAUAUUGAAAAUCACUAGCAACAUAAGAAGAUACCUUAUAAAAAUGAUAUAUAAUUUGCAUCCUUUUGGACAAAGAACAAAAAUCUUGGUAAUACUGUACUUUAUCAGUGGUAUAGGCAGAAAUAUACUCUAAUACAAGCUGUGGCAUGCAUAGAUAUUCUUAAAAAUAUUCAAUUCUAUUGGCAUUGAAAGUUUGCAUCCAGCAUUUAUUAUUGUAAAAAUACAAGUGAAUUGGGGUGCCUGGGCGGCUCAGUCAAUUGAGUGUCCGACUUCAGCUCAGGUCAUGAUCUCGCAGUUGACAAGUUCAAGCCCCACAUCAGACUCUGUGUUGGUAGGUAGCUCAGAGCCUGGAACCUGCUUCAGAUUCUGUCUGCCUCUCUCUCUCUGCCCUUCCCCCACUCGCACUUUGUCUCUCUCUCUCUCUCAAAAAUAAAUAAACAUUAAAAAAUUUAUAAAAAUAUAAGUGAAUUAAUGCUAAAGAUGCAUGUACAGAGAUGUUAUUGUAAAUACAAAAUGUUAUGUUACAUGGGAGCACAUUAGUCUAUUUUAUUCUGUUUUUUGUUCUUUUAGAUGUUUAUUUUUGAGAGAGAGAGAGAGACAGAGACAGAGAGAAAGAGAGAGAGACAGAGAAGAAGUGGGGAAGGGGCAGAGAAAGAGGGAGACACAGAAUCUGAAGCAGGCUCCAGGCUUCGAGCUGUCAGCACAGAGCCCAACGUGGGGCUUGAACUCACGAGCUGUGAGAUCAUGACCUGAGCCCAAGUCGGAUGCUUAACUGACUGAGCCACCCAGGCGCCCCUAUUUUAUUCCGUUUUAUGAAAAUUAUCUAGAAUAGUGUCUGGCACAUGGUAUGAACCAGAGAAUAUACUACAGCCCAGGGAAAGGGUUGAUCACAGCUGUCCUACUGAGAGCAGGCCUUUUUCUUUAUUAUCAACAGCAACAACAAUAACAGCAACUGUCACCACCACAAAAGAAGGGCAUUCAGAAAUUAGCAAACACAUUUGUCAGAUUUAUACAAGAUUCCUGAGAAAUUGGAGAAAGAAGUAAAGAUGGAUUGAAGAAGACUCAAGAUUAGAGUCAAUCUCUGAUCCCACAGGCUUUAUGGUCUACAGGAGGCCCUUUGAAUUCUGAGCUAAGAAGUAUGGAUUUUACUCUCUAGGCAUCGGGGAGCUGUUGUGACUAUCUGAACAGCCGCAUCUUCUUCAUGAGAGAGGAUUUGUGUACAAUAAGAGCUAAAAUACUUGCAAGUUGACAUGGAAAGAACAUGGAUAACAGGCCCUCUGUGGAGCAGCUUGCUCCGGUGAGCGUGCAUUCGGCUAUCAAAUCCCAGGAGGCCCAUUAGACCUCAACCAAAUGACAGCCCGUAAAGUUCCUCGGAGUGAAGAAUUAGGUUGAGCUGUUAACCUUCCCCAUGCAAAGGACAACAAAGAAAUUCUAGUAAGAGGUAAAGACCCACGGGGACGAGCUGCCUUCUUCCUCCGAGAGCACACCUCCUCCCAGAUGCUACGAGAAUAGCAAGGGGAUACAUGUUACAUUGCCAGUAAGCAGGCAAGUCUUCUGGAUCUCUUCUUACAUCCUAAGUAAAAUUAGAUGUAGCGUUUUCAGCCUGGUUUCUAAAUGUUUUGUCUGCCAGCCGGCAGCUUGUCACCUUGAACAGACUUAACCAAUUAAUUCAGUUCUCUGGUUCCUGGCUAACCUUGAAUCCUAGUAUGCUUUCAUACCAUCUCAGCGGAAGUUUAAACGGCGAUCUUUAUGGUGAAUAAGUAGUGUCUAGGCUCUGAGAACUUAUUUUAUGAAAAGCCAGUAGCACCUGUGUUCAUUUUUUAUGGAAGACAUAGUAAUGUUACCAAGCGUUCCUCUAAAUGCCUUAUACUCAGCAUUUGUAACAGUUUUCUUGAUGAGUAAACCUAACUUUUCUUCUUUUUCAGCUAGAAAGAGGGUAGUUAAGAGAGGUUAAACGGUAUUGUGAUAGUGAACUAAUCUCUAAGGCAAAGUGUCCUCGGAUUUUUCAACUACAACUGUUCAUAUUGACAAUUCAUAAAUGAUGUUAUGUCAAAUUAAUAGAUCAAAAUCCUACAGGGCUUCUCUCAUGUCCAGAACAGUGUAGACUUCUCAGGGGAUAUAAAGACAUAUAAAAGCCAGUUCUACUUCCCAAGAAACUAACAAUCUAGAUAUAAACCAAAAAAUAUAUCUUUAAUAACAAUACAACCACAUGCUGUUUUUCAGGGAUACAUCUGAAACAGUUAAAAUAGACUGGUCAAAGAUAUAGGAUAAACCAAAUAACAAAGCGGAGUGGCAACAGUAUUCUUGAAAAGAAUUCAAAGUAGAAAGUAUUAAACAACAACAAAUUAUUU